rnacentral:rRNA from 1 species
GAAUUGACGGGGACCCGCACAAGCGGUGGAGCAUGUGGUUUAAUUCGAAGCAACGCGAAGAACCUUACCAAGUCUUGACAUCGGAAUGAUCGUUCCUUAACAGGAGGCUUCCCUACGGGGCGAUUCCAGACAGGUGGUGCAUGGUUGUCGUCAGCUCGUGUCGUGAGAUGUUGGGUUAAGUCCCGCAACGAGCGCAACCCUUACUCCUUAGUAGCCAGCAGUUCGGCUGGGCGACUCUGGGGAGGACUGCCAGGGA